GUUAGGAUAGGACAAUAUUUGAUCGAGAUACAACAAUAUAAAUUUCUGGAAUCUGAGGAUGCAAAAAAAUCUAAAUAUUGAGAAAAUCGCAUUGAAAGUUGUCCAGAUGAAGUCCUUAGCAUAGCAUAUUACUUACAAAAAUAAAGUUUUGAUGCGUUUACGGUAGGAAAUUUACAAAAUAUCCUCAUGGAACAUGAUCUUUACUUAAUAUCCUAAUGAUUUUUGGAAUAAAAGAAAAAUCGAUAAAUUUGACCCAUACUAUGUUUUUUCGGCUAAGACCGGUUUUGUGGUCCGGGUCAUAAGCACUUUUUUUUUACAAUAUAUGGAAAUGUAUUAUUUAAUAUGUUCCAUUAUGUUCCUAUAUAUUUUUGUUUCGUAACAGAUGGUAGCCAUGUAAAAGCGAUAUCUAUUAUCAUUUAUUCACCCUCACGUUGUUCAUUUUUGCAUGAAACUUUAAACCAGCCAAAGGUGCCUAAAAUAUAAGCUGGAUUUAAGGUGGUUUCAACUGGUCCCAGUAAGCCGGUUGACAAACUGUUUGGUCAAGGCCAGUUUUGUUCUUGUGCAGGACAGGAAAGAAUAAGUGAAACAAGCUAGAGAAUUGAAAGCCGGACUCACUCAGCGAGGUGUGUGCCGGUCAUCGGGUCAGAACAGCAGGUGCCGUGUGAAAUGUGGAUUCGUGGUGGCGAUGUCGAACGGCAGUUUCCAUUAGAGAAGAAAUGAAAAGCCGAGAUUGUGAUGUUGAAGUAUGAGGAAGCGUAACUCUGGUGACAGAAUGUUGCUACUAAUGUUGUGAGAGAAAACUGAAACCGCUUGUACCACAUAAAGAAUGCCUGUAUGAUGUGUGUGUGGGUGUGUUUGUAUGCAGGUGUAUUCAUUAUACAUCAAUAUAGCCUGACAAAUCAAAUGAAUUAGAUGCUAAUAGUGUGUGUAUUUGCUAUAAUGUUUCUUCAUUUCAUUGUUUAGCCAUAUUAACAACACGAAUGCAGAAAAGCACAGCAUCAUUUAAUAUGACUGACUGGAUCUUGUGUAAUUAAGUUUUUUUUCUCCCUGGAGAAACGUGCGUUUAUGUGUGUCGAGUGUGUGAGACAGGAUUUUCUCACCACCCUAAAAAUAACCACAGGUGACCUGGGAGAAAUCCAAUCCCCACAUCCAAUUGUGGCAGACGAAGCCGCUCUUAACUACUUCAAAAGGUAGAGUGAUGAGAUUUCAAGCGAUCGAUAGCAACGCCGGGGACGAACCACACCGCCUGGCCCCGGAGCGCUCGCCUGUUUGCCUCUCAUCUGUAAGCUGUGUUAGCGCUCCAAAAUACUCAACAUGUCCAAACCUUCGCUUCACUCUGGAAUAUGAAACACCGAAGCUGCUCCUCAGAGAAGCCAAAUCGAGAGAGAGAGAGAGCAGGAAUGUGUAGUCUCUGUUCCUCUGUCUCCUACUGUGCUUGCGGUCCUGGGCUCCGUUAGAGGAGGUGCACAUGUCACUCUUUCAAGGUGUGGAAGCUGGAGGCCUUCCCAUCAUGCCCUGCGGUGAACGUCUCUGAUUCUCAAGCGCAUUAGGUGAUGGAUGGCAAAUUGGUUUCUUGUGAGCUACUGUUGUUUGUUUACCACUAUAUUAUUUACUUGCAAAUAAGUGAAAUAUAACUGUACUUUUAAGAUUAGAAUUAGAAAUUUGAGUUAUAUUAUCAUUUCAUGUGAAAUCAGCCAAAUUUUGGAAAACUCU